AGUUGGUGGAGUGAUUUGUCUGGUUAAUUCCGUUAACGAACGAGACCCCUGCCUGCUAAAUAGUUAGCCGAGUGAUUUUUCACUGGGUGUAGCUUCUUAGAGGGACGUGCAUUCUUUAAAUGCAGGAAGAUAGGGGCAAUAACAGGU
rnacentral:rRNA from 1 species